CCUACGGGCGGCAGCAGUGAGGAAUAUUGGUCAAUGGACGAGAGUCUGAACCAGCCAAGUAGCGUGAAGGAUGACUGCCCUAUGGGUUGUAAACUUCUUUUAUAAAGGAAUAAAACGAGGCACGUGUGCCUUUUUGCAUGUACUUUAUGAAUAAGGAUCGGCUAACUCCGUGCCAGCAGCCGCGGUAAUACGGAGGAUCCGAGCGUUAUCCGGAUUUAUUGGGUUUAAAGGGAGCGUAGAUGGGUUGGUAAGUCAGUUGUGAAAGUUUGCGGCUCAACCGUAAAAUUGCAAUUUAUACUGGCAGUCGUGAGUACAGUUGAGGUAGGCGGAAUUCGAGGUGUAGCGGUGAAAUGCUUAGAUAUCACGAAGAACCCCGAUUGCGAAGGCAGCUUACUAAACUGUGACUGACAUUGAUGCUCGAAAGUGUGGGUAUCAAACAGGAUUAGAUACCCCAGUAGUC
rnacentral:rRNA from 1 species